ensembl:ncRNA T21B10.13 ncRNA
AAAACCGUAACAAAGUAGUAUAUUAGAACAGUAAAAUAAAUUUGACAGGGGGUGUCUAAGUGGUUAUAACAGUAACACACCUCAUUCCGCGUCGCAUUUAUAAUAAUGGCUAAAUGGUGUACAAGGCGCUGCUUCUU